GACGAACGCUGGCGGCGUGCUUAACACAUGCAAGUCGAACGGAAAGGUCAUGCUCUUGUGGGGUGCUCGAGUGGCGAACGGGUGAGUAACACGUGAGUAACCUGCCCUUGACUUUGGGAUAACUUCUGGAAACUGGGGCUAAUACCGGAUAGAAGCUCCUGCUGCAUGGUGGGGGUUGGAAAGUUUCGGCGGUUGGGGAUGGACUCGAGGGUUAUCAGCUUGUUGGGGUGGUAGUGGUUUACCAGGGCUUUGACGGGUAGCCGGCCUGAGAGGGGUACCGGCCACAUGGGGACUGAGAGACGGCCCAGACGCCUACGGGAGGCAGCAGGGGGGAAUAUUGCACAAUAGGCGGAAGCCUGAUGCAGCAACGCCGCGUGCGGGAUGACGGCCUUCGGGUGGUAAACCGCUUUCGCCGGUGACGAAGCGUGAGUGACGGUAAUGGGUAAAGAAGCAACGGCUAACUACGUG
rnacentral:rRNA from 1 species